GUUCCGGGUGACACCAUGUGAAAUACUGUUCUUUAUAUUUAAAAAGGUAAAAGAGAUAGCAUUGUAGGGGGGCUGGUGACGUCACGUGCUAUGUAAACAACCCCUAUUAUCUCCAAAAGUAACAGAGAUAGAACCACAGUCUGAAUGGCACAAAUUGGCACAAAUGUAGCACAGAUAAAUGAGCCCAGUUUCGAGUUUUUAUGGCAUUUUAGGGGGGCUGGAGUGCUGUCACCUGCCAUGUAAACAACCUUUAAUAUCUCCAGAAGCAAAGGAGAUAGAACCGCGGUUUGAACAAAACAAAUCGGCACAAAUGUAGUACAAACGAAUGUGGGGGGGGCUGGAGUGAUGUCACUUCCGAAAUAAAUAAAUGUUACUAUCUCAAAAACUCCAGUGGCACAAAUUCUAAUAUUUACGGCACAAAUUAACACUAAUGAAUGAUGCUGUUUGUGUGGAGGCCAACUUCACAGAGCUCUACGCUGAUGAUACCCAGCUCUUCCUCUCCUUUCUACCUGGAGCAUCAAACAUUUCUGCACGCAUUGCUGCCUGCCUGUCAGACAUCUCUGCAUGGAUCACCAUCUCCAACUCAUCUUUCCAAAAUCUCCUGACCUCCGUUUCCCAGUUCCUGCUCCUUGUCUACAACUUCCUGGUUUGCCACGACUUCUCGCCUGUUUACUGGACAACGACUCUCGGAUUUGACCCUCGGAUUCCGUUCACAGAUCGCUGACCAUUGUACCUGUUUUCCUGACCAUGUCUACUGGAUUGCCCCUUGACUUCACUUCCUGUGCUCCGCACUUGGGUCCGAUAGCCAUGAGGAGUAGUUGCUGCUCCACACGGCGACCCAUGAUGAGGUAGCUGUUGCUGGC